rnacentral:misc_RNA from 1 species
UUAAGUUCAGCGGGUAGUCCUACCUGAUUUGAGGUCAGAGCACAAAACAUGGGGGUUGUGAGCGGACGUCACCGGCGAAGGACGAAACUUAUUACGUCGAUCGAGGGCUUAUCCCACUAACACUUUUGAGGCGAGCCAGACGGCAGCGCCCAAGUCCAAGCCCGCCGGGAACAAACCCGGGGGUUGAAAGUUUCAUGACA